rnacentral:rRNA from 1 species
UACGAAGGGUGCAAGCGUUACUCGGAAUUACUGGGCGUAAAGCGUGCGUAGGUGGUCUGUUAAGUCUGAUGUGAAAGCCCUGGGCUCAACCUGGGAAUUGCAUUGGAUACUGGCAGGCUAGAGUGCGGUAGAGGGUAGUGGAAUUCCCGGUGUAGCAGUGAAAUGCGUAGAGAUCGGGAGGAACACCAGUGGCGAAGGCGACUACCUGGCCUGUUCUUGACGCUGAGGCGCGAAAAGCGUGGGGAGCAAACAGG